CCUACGGGAGGCAGCAGUAGGGAAUAUUGCUCAAUGGGGGAAACCCUGAAGCAGCAACGCCGCGUGGAGGAUGAAGGUUUUCGGAGUGUAAACUCCUUUUGUUGGAGAAGAUAAUGACGGUAUCUAACGAAUAAGCACCGGCUAACUCCGUGACAGCAGCCGCGGUAAUACGGAGGGUGCAAGCGUUACUCGGAAUCACUGGGCGUAAAGAGCGCGUAGGCGGGAUAGCAAGUCAGAUGUGAAAUCCUAUGGCUUAACCAUAGAACUGCAUUUGAAACUGUUAUUCUAGAGUAUGGGAGAGGUAGGUGGAAUUCGUGGUGUAGGGGUAAAAUCCGUAGAGAUCAAGAGGAAUACUCAUUGCGAAGGCGACCUGCUAGAACAUAACUGACGCUGAUGCGCGAAAGCGUGGGGAGCAAACAGGAUUAGAUACCCGGGUAGUC
rnacentral:rRNA from 1 species